UACAUUAUGACAUUAAUGAUCUAUUGUUUAUACAAAUAGUUUAUUAUGACAUUAAUGAUCUAUUGUGUAUACAAAUAUUUUAUUAUGACAUUAAUGAUCUAUUGUGUAUACAAAUAAUUUAUUAUGACAUUAAUGAUCUAUUGUGUAUAAAAAUAAUUUAUGACAUUAAUGAUGUACUAUGUAUAUCAUUACAAAUUUCAAAUAAUUUAGAUAUGUGAGAAAGCGUGGUUAUUGGACGGAAUUUGUUACUUGAGACGGGUCACCGGUUUUAAGUAUCGGGGAAAUUGAGCCAAGCUUGAGUGAGAAAGGGAAGAAACCGGGAUCAAAAUAUUUUUGAAAUAACAGGAAUAGUGGCCAGGGAAUAACAUCUCUUAAGAUAAAUAAAAAGUGGCUUUGUAUUCCAUCAGGGCCGAUAGUUUUAUUGUUACGAAGGAAGAACAGGAAUUUAUUAACAUCGUCAAUAAUGAACACUAUUUUGGAGGGUAAGAAGGAGAAAUUGGGGGGAAGGUGUGCUGGACAAGAUAAAGAAUUGAGAGAAGAGGUAUGUAUAGAGGAAAAAUAAUUAGAAAAAAUAUUAGCUACUUCUUUAAGCGAGGUACUAGAAACAUUAUUAAACAUUACAUGCGUGGGUGAUAUACGAGAUGAGUGGGUUUUGCGUACAAAAGUCCAAAAAGAACGAGGGUUACUUAAAAGAGAUGACUCUGUACGGGAAAUGUAGUCACGGUAGUAACGUUUAGAUAUAAGUUUAUAGCUAACGCGUAAAAGAGAGAAAUUUUUAUAGCCCAUAAGUGAUUAGGUUAGUUUGUAUCGAGCUUUAGCUGAGUUUUUUAAGUAAACUAGUUUUUUGAGUUCCGGAUUGAACCAAGACGGAAAGGUAGAAUGAUUAGCAAAUUUUAUGGGAACAAAAGUAAGGAUAGAAGAAUGUAAGGCGUCUAGGAAAGUGUCCAUAGCGUCAUCCGUAUCCAGAGAUUUAAAAGUAAGUUCCCAAUUGAAAGAAUUGAGGUACUGAAUGAUACCAGGGAAAUUAGAUUUAUUAAAAUUAAAAUAUGAAAAAGUAGUACUAUUUGUUAAUGAUUUUGAUGGGCGGUUGAGGGAAUAAGCUAAUGGCGGAUGAAAGGUAUCAGGAGGAACGGCAGAUCAAGGUCAACAGAUGUAAAUUUAGAAUUAGUAAAAAUUAGAUAAAGAAUAUUACCAUGCGCAUUUGGAAUAUUAUUGUUUUGAUAAAAACCAUGAAAUGAAAAAGUUUCAGGUACACUUGAGUGCUGUGAUAAGGAAGUGGAAGAGUAAUAGAGUCCAUGAUUGUCAUUUGCCCAUGAAAUGAACGGAAGAUUAUAAUCGCCACAGAAAAUUAAAGAGUAGGAUGGGUACUGUUAGGCUAUGAAUUCGACUGAGUCUAGAAGUUUAUACAAGACGUAUAAUUCAAUUUGGGAGUGAGGAGGGAAAUAAACACCGCAAAUUAUAAAAUUAUUUGAAUUAAUACUAAAAUGGAUGAAUAAUUGUUCAAUACCACAAUCUGAGAUGGAGAGAGGGAAAGAAGGAAUGUCUUUGCGUAUGGCUAUAAGAACCCCACCAACUCGUUCGCAGGAGCUUUUAGUAGGUGAUCUAUCAAAUCUAUAUAUAUUACAAUUAAUUAAACCUAGUUCAGAGGAGAAAAAAUUACUAUUAAGCCAAGUUUCAGUGAGUACAAUGAACAUAUAAUCAAAACAAGAGGUAUUACAUUUAAAGUUUGGUACGAAGACUACGGCAGUUUUGAUAAUAUCCGAGAAGGUUAAAUGAGUCCUUCAUACCACUUAGUCUUGAGGACUAAGCUGAUAAGCUGUAAUUAUUGAUGAGGCAGAUUCAUGUGAUUUUGAAAUAACAUUAAUAGCGAGCGUUAAUUCACCAGGUUAUAAGAAAAUAUGUAUAAAAUGUAUAUUUACUUCAAAGUACGGUGUUUUAACUCAUGCAAAUAAGUACACUUGAAGACUACCAAAAGUUGAUGUAAAACACCUACACCGGAUUACCAAAACACAAAAAGAACUAGACAAUUUUUAAGUUGAAAAAUGAUAAAUUGUAAUUACAUGACGUUAUCAAUUUAUGUAUUUUUGUAAUUUAUGUAGUUAUAUUUACGUUACAAUUUUAUGUUGAGUUUUAAAUAUAAUAUUUACAAUAUAAUAUAAUAUAUACAAAUUAAAAUAUACAACAAUUUUUCACUGUGUCUUCGAGACGAUAAUUCUACAAAUGUAUCUAAAUGUACUUUUUCUGGAAGAUAUUCCUCCGUUUGGCUAUAUGAGACGGAAUAUGUUUUGUUCAAAUCUAAAUUAUGCCUAAUUCUUUUCAAUAUUAAUUUUAGAAAAGAAGAGAUAUUUUAGCUAAUAGUUAAACUCAAGAAAAAAAGUAUUUUGUUUAUCCUUCUUAUUUUAUUACUCUGUAUGCAACAUCGAUAAAGAAAUACAUAGAAACAGUAAACGUUUGUUCUAUAAUUACUGCCUUUGCAAUAAAAUAAUACCUAAUGGCUAAUGUUAAUAAAUGUUAUCAUAGUAAAAUAUUUUUGAUAAUUCAAAGUUAAAAUUACCAUGGAAGCAAAUACACAUAGACAUUUUCUUAGUAAAUCUAAGUUUCUAUCUUUGUAUUUAUCAUAUUAAUAAAAUUAGUUUCAUUUGUAUUUGUAUUAUUUUAAACAUUAAUUGUAUUUGCAAGUACUCAUUGUGGUAUGGGAAAUUAUUUUAAACCAUAUAUGGUGAUGCAAUUUCUUUUAAAAAUCGAAUACAAUUCUCAAAAAUACCACAGUGCUGGUCAUAAAUAUAUUUAUUAAAAUAUUAAUUUGAAAUGUAUAAAAUUUCAAAAAUGACCAAAAACCAGAAAUUUAUCAAGUACUAAUAGUAGUGAUUAUUAAACAAAAAUGCUUUAUUGAGAGGGCAAAAAUAAUGUCUGAAAUCAAUUUUAUAAUGUAAUAUUUGAAUAAAAAAUUUUGGUCGUUGCUAAAACAUGGUGAUUAAGUUUUUUGACAUUAUCAUUAUAUGUAAUAUAGUAUUAUAUGAUUUUUUUUUAUAAAAUAUACUGUAUUUUCUGUAAUGGCUUACUUUUUUUUUUUCGAAAAUAUUUUAUAAAAUUGAUAAAUUAUCUCUUAGAUUAUAGGUUAGCAAUUCUAUUUUACUUGUAAAAAAUAUUUUUAUACAAUAACUACUGGCUAAUUGUUAAUGUUAUAAUAGUCAAG